rnacentral:lncRNA from 1 species
AACAAUGAGCCUGCCGCAGCAUACCAGGCCGGUUGGUGUGCGUACUGCGGCCACAGUCCAGUACAACAUGUUCGAAUUGGUGUUGCUCAACAAUACGAAUGUACUGCCACUGGAGGUGCCAACACCAGCAGCUUCGUAAUGCCUGCUUCACAGCAUAGCAUAACGGAGACGCCGUUCAUCAAAUGACAGGCACAGAACAAAGCUUGCAAGGACCAUGUGAAACUCCUGAUACGGAAUUCACCUCUCUACAAUCUGCAGCUACCUUGACAACUGAUGCAAGGUCUAGUACUUGUACUGAGACACUUGAGGCUUCCACGAGGUCAACCGCAGUUGCCACAACAGAUGACGCAUUAAGCUACCCCUCGGCAUUUAGACAAACUCCAGGACUGCUUCAGAGUGUUGUGGUCAAGGCAGACAAGUUUCCCCAGUGCUGGGCAAACAGCAAGCUUCUGCACAUUUUGCGUCAGUUAAAGUGUAGCUGGAUGCACGACUUGUUACAUUUUCAGUGUUCGCUAUCAAGGUGCUGUUAGAGUGUACUAGAACAGGGUAGUUCUUGGAACGAGCUUCUAAAAGUGAAGCCAAAACAGGGUCCAUCCGCUUGUGGCAUUGCGAUCGGUAGUCUGCAAUGCGUCUUUGUUUAAAAGCUGCACACCGCUGAUUGCAGCGCCACAAGUGGAUUGACCCGGUUUGGGCUUCACUUUCUGUAAUGCGGCCGUUCCGACCACUCCCCUAUUCUAGUACAUUCUAGUGCUGUGUUACACAAGGCAGUGUUUGAUUUUAAGAAUAUUAUUUCUUUAUUGGAGGACAACAAUCUUACGAUAGUGCAUAACUAGCAUUCAACUAGCUUUCAGAUGUUGUGCAAAUGACGCAGGACAAAAGGGCGAUGCAGGCCACACGCAUGCUACACUGUGUAUGCGUCACUCUUUUGCCCUCUGUCGUGUGAGCUGUGCCUAAGGCUUUUUGUAUGACAAGCUCGACAUACAAUUUAUGUUAAGAAUUAGAUAGUCACUGACAUCUUCUGUUAUUUAUUUGCAGUUGUGAAUAAAUGUCCUAGAUUCCAAAAUCGUAUAAAGAUACUGGAAUGGUUCAGAGUACCCGAAAUAUUUUAAUGUAACAUGAUUUGAUGACCAGUUUUUUUUUGUUUGUUUAACAGAAGCUAUACCGAGUCGUGUUAAGACACAAAAAACUUUCAUGAGGGAGCACAGUGUUAAUACACUGAUGCUCGCUCUGGCCCACUUUAUAACUUGCUAACAACGAGUAUUAGCUUAUGGGGCAACUGAGUGAGCUGAAAAGAGUGCUAAAACAUUGUGUCGUGGCCCUGUGUGGCCUUUUGUUUCCUUUUCUUUUUUUUAUGCCGCCUGAUACAAUUUCGCCUCUAGAAACAUAACUGAAUCUUGUGUGUAAAACACCUGAUAGAUAAGAAGUUUGUCAUCAUGCUCUGAAGUAUAUAUUUUUUUCUAAGGUUUUGAAGUCUUGAUGUGUUCGUUGAAGGCACAAGAUUAAAAAAGAGCCCUUCAUCAGUUCUGCUUUAGGGUGUAUGUUGGGAGCACAACGUUUCUAAUCAUUCUUCGUCGCGCUAUCAGGUCAGAAAGAUAAGUUCGAAAGUAAGGUUGACACUAAUUUCCACCUUAGGCCCCUCUAGGCAUGUAUACCUAUAGUAAAAAGAGGCCAGCUGGAUCUCGUGCCUUUUCUUGAAGACUACCUUCCUUAGUUUCAAGAGGUGUGAGCUUGAGUAAACACAAUAAGUGCUUUUUUGACACAGCACCUAGUUUUGCCUUAGUCACAUGUCUUGAUAGUGGUGAGAGUUUAUUAAUUCUCUUGGUCUUUCAGUAUGGGCGCACGGCAAGCUUUCUGUGCCUUCAGGUGUUCUUAUUACGCCCAUAUGAGGCAAUUACAAAAUGUGUGUCACGAAGUGAUGUGAUGUUUUCAAGGAAAAUCUGUGAUAGUCCCACUCUUGUGAAUAAUAGUGCUCAAGUCAUAGUACUCUGGUGUUGGUGCAUGGCAAGCUUUCUGUGCCUUAAAGUGUUCGUAUUAUGCCUAUGUUACAAAAUGAAUGUCACUAAGUGCCAUGACAUUUCUAGGGAACAGCUGUGAUAGUUCUACUCCUGUGAAUAAUAGUGCACAAGUCAUAGUAUAUGUGAUCUUGUUCAGUUUGUACACUGUGAGAGGAAAGGGACUCCGUACGUGCGAACACAAGUGCAUAUCAUUGUGUUUAUGUGACAAUUCCUACUGUUUGAGUUUUAAUAAACUGCGAUA